rnacentral:rRNA from 1 species
GAAGAGUAACGUUCGAAAGAAUAUUA